AAAAAAAAAAAAAAGUUCCAACUUAGAAAAAAUUCAUCAUAUGCAACAGAGUCAAUACCAUUAGUAUACAGAAAGAAUUUAAAGAUAAAUAAAAGCUGAAAGUGGACAAAGAAUAUAAACAUUCACUCACCACUGAUAUAUCACCAUCUAUCCAACAUUUUCAUGAGCAAAGAAAUUCAAUCAAUAAUAAGGCAGCAUGUUAGUCUACCAAAUUGGGAAAAAUUAAAAUGAUGAUUUUUAGUUUCAUAAGAGAUUGGGAGUAUAACUUCACUGGAGGACAAGGUAGUAAAAAUUAAAGAAUCCUAGGCAACUAUCUAAAAUGAUUUCAUUAGUUAGGUGGAAAGCUAUCCAUGAUACAAUGUAGUCUGAGGGAAAAAGAGGUCACAAAACAUGAUGCCUUUCAGGGGGAGAGGAUUUUUUCAAAAAAGCUUAUGUACUUACGUAAAUCAGGAAAUAAAUGAGCCAAGAUAUUAUGCUUGUUUGUGGGUGCUAGGAUUAUAGGAGACUUUAAUUUCGUUUUUGGAAUUUAAUAUUUUUUUAUAUCAAAUAUGUACUCCUUUUGAAAUAAACACUUAAAUGUAAUUUACACUAAACCAUCAGUAAUACUUUAUAUUCAUAUCCUGCAGUGAUGGCAUUAUGAAUGUGUAUAUCUGAGAAUACUGUCAGAUUUGCUACAACGCAAAUAUCAGUGCUGAGUAUACUCGACUCUUUUUUUUUGGUGUCAGUAACCAAAUGUAUCCCUGAGCCUGAGACACAGGAACAGGGCCCAUGAGUCACAGUGUUCCUCUGGCCUUCCGAGUAAAGACUAUUAAAGAAAGGUGCAGCGAUGCCCCAUAGCCGAGUGCAGGAACCUGGCGGGUACCCACCGCCCGCAGCCUGGCAGUGGGCAGGACUCCAGACGACAUUGGCUUACAGCAUCUCUGAACCUAAGACCGCGGCGCGGAGGGUUCCGGGAAAUGUAGUCUGGGACCCGCCGACUCGCACACUUCCGUUUCCGGUCCAGCGCACCUCUGCAGUUGAAACCACGCUUUGCCUAUGUGGGACUGUUCCUUUCCCAAAGAGGUCUUUAUAGAAGAGGAAGCCUGAUCUCUUGCCAGCAGAGCUUCAGGGUGCAUAUGUGUGUGGGGUCUCUCCACCCUUCUGAAGUGCCCUGUAUGUCACAGUGACGUCAGCUGCUGGGCCCUCCUGAAAGAUGCUUCUGUGACUCUCCUUGGCCAUCUGCAACAUUCUUGCUCUCUGGAUUCUGAGCCCCUCCAGAGCAAGGACUAUACCCAUAGCUACUCAGUAAAUUUUUUUUUUUUUGAGACAGAGUCUCACAC